AUUUUUUAAAAAUAAAAAUAGCCAAACCAAAAUCUUUCCUUUACUCAGACGUGAGCUACGUUUUUCUCAUGUUCACAUUAAGCUUGACCUAAUGUAUCUAAUCAGCUUCUAUGACAGCUGUUUUCCAUUUUCUGUUUGCUUGUUUUGCUAAAUUUUGAGGUCUUCAAAAAGUCUCCUUUGUAAUAAUGUAGGAACUUGAUAUAUUCCCCCAGGUUGAAUUCAGAAAAAUGUCAAAAUCUUUGUAAAGGUCUACAGCGCGCCUUACAGAAUCUGCUCCUGACUUCCUAAGAGCUGAUUCCCUGUUUCUCCCCUGCUCAUUUAUUUGGCUCUGAGAACACUGUCUUCCUUAAUUAUUCUCUGUCCAUCAGGCUGGUUUCCACCUGGUCAAUUGGCUUAGACUAGAACACCACGGCAUCCCUAACCUCAGGCAGCUGGAAUAAAUGAAGGCAUGGCAGUGGGCUCUCCCACCAGGAUCCAGAAGCCACAGGCCAACUACAGCAGUCCUUCGGCCAUCAGGGAUGCUCACCAUUGUCACAGACGAUGGGAGUCCUGGCACAGACCUUCACACCAUGUCACUCCUGUCUCACCAAGAAGCUUGGAAGGAAAUGUCAGCAGGACUAUAAUUGCUGAGUCCUGGGGACAACAGUGCCACUUCCCAAGAAAAUGGGACUGUUUUCAAGCUGUAAAAUCAAUUGUAAAAGAAAUAGCUCUUGGAAUGAAGCCCAGUGUGUGAGAUUCAGGUUGUGUUCUGCAGUAUUUGCCCACACUGCAAGUCAGCAUGCAAUUCCAGCUGAUGAAAUACACUGUAGCCUACACCAUCUUUACUGACCUCACCAUUAUUUCCAGGCCAUCUCAGAUGUGCAUGCUGUUCUUUGCCUUAAAGGAAGCCAGAUAUUAAAAAGAAAAAAAAAAACCCUAAAGUAAAUUUACCAAAACCACUGGUCCAAACAAGCAACAACAGUAACAAUAACAACAAAAUCAUGGAAAUAAGUAUUUUUUUUUAAGUAUGACAAGCAAAAGCAGUUGGUGCAAAUCUCCCCAAAACAGGUUGGGCUGAAUGACAGAUGUUGCCAAUGGCUGAC
rnacentral:lncRNA from 1 species